rnacentral:lncRNA from 1 species
AUUUUGCACUUUAGAGUCUUUCAUGGGCGUGUUCCAAUGGCUUUAUACCCUUUCCUUUUGAGGUCAUCGUAUGCCUAAUUUACUCUAAUAUCAAAUGUAUCUUCCUCUGUGUUUGAAAAUCCAACAUGUUUGGCCUUAAGGUGUUGGAGAUUUCCCAAAUCCUGUGGACUAUUAAUGUGAACAUUGGCGAUUUGGCAUACUACAUCCAGUUAUUUAACGUAAUUCAAGCAGUAUAAUCAUCAGCUAUGUCUUCUUUUUGUAACUUGGAAAUUAUCUUGCUGCUUAAGAAAUCUCUGUAAUGCAACUUAAUUUUGCAUAUUGUGAAAUGGAAGUACCUCAAAUUUGGAGAAGGAUAAGUAUUUUAGGAGGUACAGAGUAGAGGCAAGAUGAUUCUACCACAUUAUUGUGCAAAGUCUGAAUUAGCUUUUGAGCCAAGACUUUGCAGAAGAUUCCUAAUAUUCUGGAUAUUUGAAAAUGUUCUGGUACUGAAUGGUCCAUAGGCUAAAGGAAUCUUUGUGACUUCAUUGGGAUUUCAACCUAUCCAACGCCAUUGUCCUUGCUAAUUUAAAGCACCCAUUGCUGUCCGUUAUUCAGGAUAUCAUUCUUAUCUAAUCAGAUGUAAUUUCUCUUGACUUAAAGCCCCUGAGUCCCGUAUAUAUGUCUCCUGUAGACUUUAGUUGAUAGUGCUACUGUCCAGCAUAUCUUCUUCUUAAGUCAUUAAAAGCUUUGCUACUUCUGGCUCCAUGGUGCUGCUUCUUUCUAACCUUAAUGAAAUAUUUUUGACUUACUAGUAUUCUUUCUUAAGGAUGUGUAUGACCAAUGAAGACAACAGAGCCAACAAUUUCAUCAAUGGACACUAUUAUCUCUACUGUUUUAAUCUAUAAUUUUUUAAGUGUUAUCAAACGUUUGAUGCAUUUUGAAAUUGCUUUGCAUUUGCUGGAUCCAUGUUGGGUGAUAAUGUGAUAACAGAAGAAAGGAUUUGUCGCAGUGACGCUCGUAGAGGAUAUUGAUAUAGCCACAAAAGCAAUGCAGUGAUUGCUCGUAGGGGAUUUCUCUAUUCUUUCUUUUCCUCUGUAAAGACAAGUCAUAAAGUUCUGAGGCAUUUGUUUCAUAUGUUCAAUGAGUAGAUGUCGUCCGUGUGUGGGUGUGACAUAAAGACAAGUCAUAUAAUAUUUCUGAUAGUACGAGCAUCUGUUGUUGUUGUUGUUGUUGUACGAGCAUCUGUACAUGUGCUGCUUCUUUCUAACCUUAAUGAAAUGUUUUUGACUUACUAGUAUUCUUUCUUAAGGAUGUGUAUGACCAAUGAAGACAACAGAACCAACAAGUUCAUCAAUGGCCACUAUUCCCUCUACUGUUUUAAUCUACAAUUUUUUGUGUUAUCAAACUUUUUUUUGAAAUUGUUUUACAUACGCUGGACCAUGUUGGGUGAUCAUGCGAUAACAGAAGAAAGGAUUUGUAGUGUUAUCAAACUUUUUUAUUUUGAAAUUGUUUUACAUAAGCUGGACCAUGUUGGGUGAUCAUGUGAUAACAGAAGAAAGGAUUUGUAUUUCGUGAUUCUCAUAGAGAGUAUUGAGCUAGCCACAAAAUCAAUGAGCAUUGAUUAUAGUCGAUGUAGGUGUUGUAUGAGAUAUGUGAACUCUAUUCUUUCUUUUCCUCUAUAAAGACGAGUCAUAUAAUAUUUCUGAUAGUACGAGCAUCUUUACAUGUGUUUGAUGGGUAGAUGUCGUCCGUGUAUGGGUGUGCAGUGAAAUAUGUCAGUGGGAACACUAAGAGUUGGCUUGGCUGUGUAGUGGAAACACGAAGAGUCAUAUAAUUGUGAUGCCAAUAUCAACUCUUAGCAACAGUAGUAUGUCUCCUGGAUAUCUGCAGGUGGGAAUAAUAUAUAGUUAAUAAACCGAAUCACGUGAUUGUAAUAAAUGAUUCAUGGAGAAUUGGAUGUAGAAAUGAACCACGUGCAAUUGAAUUAGAACGAAUCACGUGAUUGUAAAAAUGAUUCAUGGAGAAUUGGAUGUUGAAAUGAACCACGUGCAAUUGAAUUAGAAUUUAGAACUGUCCUUGAAUCACAUCCCUCGCUUGGUCUUUCUGUUAUUUUCUCUUGAAAUCUUUUUCCUUCUGUGUGUAGUGGACCUAUACGUUUAAGUUUUUUUAAAAAGAAUUCACUUCCUUCUUGGUCCUUUCCCCAAACCUUUUAUGUCUCUCUUCUGUCCUUAAAUGCUCCAUGUUUUUUGAAAUGCUG